GGGUUCUUUUCAAAACCCUAAACUCACUAAAAUCCAUCAAAAUCUAAGGGAAAUCGAGUUGGAAAUUAGGGCUUUAACUAAAUUCAUGAUCAACCAUGCUAGGAGAUCACAAGUUGACUCUAAACAAGCUAGGUGGGAGCUUGGAAAGGAACGGGUCAAACGGAUCAUGGAUGCGAAGAAUGUUUGCGCGAACGCGAGGUAAGUAAAGCUUACGCCCAAUUGUAGUAAACGUAUGUAUUUUAUAGAUGAUAAAUGUGACAACCGAUUACAUUCGAAAUUGAAGUUCCGACACUAAGCGAUGUGAGUCGGAACGAAUAAAAAUGAUCAAAACCAUGGUUAAUGGUAAAAUGGACAAAAGGGUAAUUUAGUCGUGAAUCGACUAAGAAUUUAUAAGAUUUCUUUAAGGUUACCUUAUAGCGAAACUUGAAAUGGGUCGGAUGUGUGAAGGGGAUAUUAAAAGUCAUGUUUUGACAUAAGUAUAAAUGUUUGGUCAUAAAUACCAAAUGGGUCAAAUGGUGGUGAUGACACCAUUUGACAAUAUCGACUAAUGUUUGGUUGUUAAGUUAAAUGUUCACAGGAGUGAACGGGAAGUGGAUUAUUGCGUUGCUAUAAAGUAGCGGCUAAUAAAAGAAAGGUGAAUGCCAAGAGUGCCCGGAUGAAGAUCAAGCUCGAUG
rnacentral:lncRNA from 1 species